CUGCCCCGGGGGACAGCGAGGGACAGCGCCGUCCUGCCCAGGGGGACGAGGCUGAGCCGGCCCCAUGAGGUGUCUGUGGGGACGGACUCUGGGCUCGGGAGAGUUUCGUGAGGAGUGAGGGGCACCGGGGCGAGUGAGGGAGGAAAAAGAGGAGGAAGAGCGACGGGACAGGUGAAGGAGGAGGAGGGGGAGGUGACGGUGAAGGUGAAGGAUUGGGUCCGGGAAAGAUGAGGGAGAAGAAGGAGGCUGGGGCAAGUGAGGGAGGAGCUCCGGCGCUGUGCGGGGGAAGGAGGAGGGCCGGGGCCUGAGCCAGAGCCGGGGCAGGUGAAGGAGGAAUGGGGCCUGAGCCGGAGCCGGGGCAGGUGGAGGAUGUUCGGAGCAGUCUCACCUCGGAAGACGGCCAGGGUGCCAUUGGGCAGGGCCACCAUGCCGUCCGCUGGCUUGCCGCUGCACAGGUCCUUCUCGUCGUUCUUCUCUGCAAAACACAGCCAGCCAUGGAUGCUGUCCAAGACUGACAAUGGUCUGUGCCCUGUUUUUGGAGGAUGUGUGUGAAAAUCCAAUAGGGACCCAGAAGACAUCACCUCUCUGUGCAUCAUCUGUGCUGAGUGAACUCUCCAAAGUCCUG